CUCCUCCUCCCGCACAUAGUGUGCCGCCCUGCCCCGGACUCUCUACAAAACUGAAAACAAAACUUUUUCCCCCUCCUGCGCUGUGCAGACACUUUCGUUUCCCGGGCCCCUGUCUUCGUGCAGUGUGCCCCCGCUGUGACUGGCGGCUCGCUCUCCCGGUGGCACUCACCAGCCAUGCCCGCGGCUCCUUGCUGACAGCGGCGUGUUAGCAGGGGGCCCUGUCUGUCACCUCCAGCUGGCACCGCACGUGGGGAGCCCUGCAUUCCGCUCUCUCACCCUCUCAUGCCCCCCACAUACAGGAUCCAUGCCACACCGCCUGCCUCUUCCUCUCUGCCAGCCUUCCCUCUGCCAGGCAGGCUAGACCAGGAGCAGCUCGCCAGUCUGUGCUUGGCAUUUGUGGCUGUGAGCAGGAAUGGAUGGGCACAGCACAGAGGGCACAGCCCAUGGUGCCAGCAGUAAGGAGGAGGAAGCUAUGGACUUGUAUCUGAGGUCUCAGGGAUUGUUCAGGAAGAAGAUUGCUAAGGAUGGCUCCUGUCUAUUCAGGGCAGUGGCUGAGCAGGUAUUGUAUAACAGUCAGCCCUCACACUAAAUGUUUCCCUUAUUAACAGCUAUUGACAUUUUAGGAGGUCUGUAUUAGAGCUUCUGCGUAUCAUCCAAAAAAGGUGAUAUGUGUGCCCAUCACGAAUAUUCAACCAUGCUAUGCAUGAGUGUGGG